rfam:Dipodomys ordii contig_51846, whole genome shotgun sequence.
GGGAGGUUGGCUCAGUGGUAGAGCACUUGCCUUGCAUGCCUGAUGCCUUGGGUUCGAUUCCUCAGCAUCACA